CAUAUAUGAUGAAAUAAGCUCUAUCCAAUACAUUUUAUUUUCUCUUUCUAGGUGCAUGGUGAAACAAAAUGUCAAGCUAGCCCGCUAGAAAAAACUGUUGAAAGUAAAGAGCCCUGCGCUACUCUGGCUUGUUAAAUCUCAUAUUGCCAGAUGACAUUCUUCCAAUUUUUUAGAUGAGCUUCUGGUUUGUAUUCCCGUUUUCUGCGGAGAUGAAUGCUGUGAGUAAGCGGAAAAAUGCGGAGGAAAAAGCAGCUUCUAAUGGUGAUCCCGUCAAACAUGUAGAACAAGUUGAGGCGAGGCGCCUUUGUUGAUGUUUUCUCAACAGGAACUUGUUUAUUACAAAAACUACUGUAGACCAGACCUAUUCAAUGACAUUUUUUAAUGUAAUACAUAGUCUUGUAAUAUGUUUUUAUUCAUAAAAUUGAAUUUUUCUAGUGUAA